ensembl:snoRNA
UAUCAUGUUUUCAAAGGCUAUGGCUGGGUGUAGCUAAGGGAUCCCCAACUGCAUUCUGGAGUAACUGGAGAGACUUUGACAGUCCAGGUCAAUACAGUGCCUGCAGCUGCCAUUCAGUUUUACUAGACGU